GUCACGCGCGUGAGUGAUGAAGGUUUCGGAUCGUAACUCUGUUGUUAGGGAAGAACAAGUGCCUAGUAACUGAUGGCCCUUGACGGUACCUAACCAGAAAGCCACGGCUAACUACGUGCCAGCAGCCGCGGUAAUACGUAGGUGGCAAGCGUUGUCCGGAAUUAUUGGGCGUAAAGCGCUCGCAGUCGGUUCUUUAAGUCUGAUGUGAAAUCUUACGGCUCAACCGUAAACGUGCAUUGGAAACUGGGGAACUUGAGUGCAGAAGAGGAGAGUGGAAUUCCACGUGUAGCGGUGAAAUGCGUAGAGAUGUGGAGGAACACCAGUGGCGAAGGCGACUCCCUGGUCUGUAACUGACGCUGAGGAGCGAAAGCGUGGGGAGCGAACAGGAUUAGAUACCCUGGUAGUCCACGCCGUAUACGAUGAGUGCUAGGUGUUAGGGGGUUUCCGCCCCUUAGUGCUGAAGUUAACGCAUUAAGCACUCCG
rnacentral:rRNA from 1 species